AACUUUCAUAUUCUCCCCUUUGGGCAGAGGAGGAUAGCAAUUAAAUCUCCUUUUGUCUUCUCUUCUCCAGAGUAAGCAAACCCAGCUGUCCCAGCCUGUGAUCCUACAUUAUGUGCUCCAAUCUCUACUCUGUCUUUGUGAUCCUCACAGCAUUUAUCACAAGUGAUACAGAAACCUCAUCUGAAUUGGAUGGCAAAGAAAAACAGAUUGGAAGUAGAAUUAAAUUACAGUUAGUGAGUAUGCUAUUGCAGAAGCACUUCCAGCACAUUUUAGGGCAACUAUAUUACUUCUGCCUUUCCUAGAG
rnacentral:lncRNA from 1 species